GAUGAACGCGGGCGGCGUGCGUAAUACAUGCAAGUAGAACGCUGAAGCUUGGUGCUUGCACCGAGCGGAUGAGUUGCGAACGGGUGAGUAACGCGUAGGUAACCUGCCUCUUAGCGGGGGAUAACUAUUGGAAACGAUAGCUAAUACCGCAUAAAAGUCGACAUUGCAUGAUGUUGACUUGAAAGGUGCAAUUGCAUCACUAAGAGAUGGACCUGCGUUGUAUUAGCUAGUUGGUGAGGUAACGGCUCACCAAGGCGACGAUACAUAGCCGACCUGAGAGGGUGAUCGGCCACACUGGGACUGAGACACGGCCCAGACUCCUACGGGAGGCAGCAGUAGGGAAUCUUCGGCAAUGGGGGCAACCCUGACCGAGCAACGCCGCGUGAGUGAAGAAGGUUUUCGGAUCGUAAAGCUCUGUUGUAAGAGAAGAACGAGUGUGAGAGUGGAAAGUUCACACUGUGACGGUAACUUACCAGAAAGGGACGGCUAACUACGUGCCAGCAGCCGCGGUAAUACGUAGGUCCCGAGCGUUAUCCGGAUUUAUUGGGCGUAAAGCGAGCGCAGGCGGUUAGAUAAGUCUGAAGUUAAAGGCUGUGGCUUAACCAUAGUACGCUUUGGAAACUGUUUAACUUGAGUGCAGAAGGGGAGAGUGGAAUUCCAUGUGUAGCGGUGAAAUGCGUAGAUAUAUGGAGGAACACCGGUGGCGAAAGCGGCUCUCUGGUCUGUAACUGACGCUGAGGCUCGAAAGCGUGGGGAGCAAACAGG
rnacentral:rRNA from 1 species